CUGGAAGGGAUAAACGCUGAAGGCAUCUAAGCGUGAAGCCCCCCUCAAGAUGAGAUAUCCCAUUCUUUAAGAAGUAAGACCCCUUGAAGACGACGAGGUAGAUAGGGCAGAGGUGGAAGUGCAGCAAUGUAUGGAGCUGACUGCUACUAAUCGGUCGAGGGCUUGACCAA
rnacentral:rRNA from 1 species